rnacentral:lncRNA from 1 species
CUUCAUUUUCCCAGAGCAUUUGUGGAGAAGGAACUGCAUAAGCAUAAAAUAAGUAAAGAAAUCCUCCAUACCAAACAGUUUUUUGGGACAUGGUGAAGUAGAGGCAAAACUGAAGGUAAAAUAUUGUGCAACACUGAAUGAAAUGAGAGGAACUGCACGAGUCACACAGAAUGAUAGAGAUGGAAAAGAGGACAUCUGUGACCCUCAUUUACUCUUCACAACUGUGCAUGCACAUGUGCACCACACAUUUCUGCUGUUAGACGGAGUUGGAUGAUGCGGUGCAAUUAAAGCCUUUUGUGAAUGUCGUUGAACUGCAAUAACACCUGGAAAUAAAGAGCUCGAGAGGUGCAUGGUGGUAGUGAGUUUACUGGAAGGAUGCAGACUUUGGGAGAAACCAGGAGCUCCUUGAAAUCCAGCUGAACCUGACUGGAAGAGAGAAAAGUAUCUCAAGCAGGCCUUGAUUAGAGUAUACUAAGCAGAUCGCCCACAUUUGAUCAAAGAGACCAAUUCUAUUCACAAGAAGGAAAUGGUAGAUGCAUCUUCUGGACUCAGAACUCUGGAGAGAGGUGAAGCUCCCCGUGGAAGAGGGAAGAAGGAAAGAGAUUCACAUGGACACAGAACAAGAUAAUAUUUGCAUAGUUUCAAGUUAUGUAAAGCACUGAAUAUUUAGUAAUGUAGACCAGAGACAUUGGAAUUUCUCCGGGUCUUUAGAUACCAAACUCCGUCUCUUCUCUCUCUACCUGCUGGCAAGCCAUCAGAAUAUUGUUCAGAACCUUUUACAUUUAGCUGCAAGAGGAAAAUGAGGAAUAUUACUGCAUGUUUGCAUUAGUUUUUGGUGUGCAUAGGAGCAAGCAAUAUACUGCACUGUUUCCGUUUGUAUGAUGCUAAAUAUCCUAAGCAUGACUGUUCUUACCUCUCAGUAAAACUUUUGAGAAUAUCGUGGCUUGUCUAAGAAAACUGAUAUCAU